rnacentral:rRNA from 1 species
GAUGAACGCUGGCGGCGUGCCUAAUACAUGCCAGUCGAGCGAACAGACGAGGAGCUUGCUCCUCUGACGUUAGCGGCGGACGGGUGAGUAACACGUGGAUAACCUACCUAUAAGACUGGGAUAACUUCGGGAAACCGGAGCUAAUACCGGAUAAUAUAUUGAACCGCAUGGUUCAAUAGUGAAAGACGGUUUUGCUGUCACUUAUAGAUGGAUCCGCGCCGCAUUAGCUAGUUGGUAAGGUAAUGGCUUACCAAGGCAACGAUGCGUAGCCGACCUGAGAGGGUGAUCGGCAACACUGGAACUGAGACACGGUCCAGACUCCUACGGGAGGCAGCAGUAGGGAAUCUUCCGCAAUGGGCGAAAGCCUGACGGAGCAACGCCGCGUGAGUGAUGAAGGUCUUCGGAUCGUAAAACUCUGUUAUUAGGGAAGAACAAAUGUGUAAGUAACUAUGCACGUCUUGACGGUACCUAAUCAGAAAGCCACGGCUAACUACGUG